ACGCCUUAUACAUGCAAGUCGAACGCAGUAGCAAUACUGAGUGGCAAACGGGUGAGUAUAAUGUGGGUAUCUGCCUUUUGGUUUGGAAUAACAUGAGGAAACUUGUGCUAAUACCGGAUAAGCCUUCACAGGGAAAGUUUUAUACGCCGAAAGAUGAGCCCGCACUUGAUUAGUUUGUUGGUGAGGUAAUGGCUCACCAAGACAAUUAUCAAUAGCUGGUCUGAGAGGACGAUCAGCCACAUUGGGACUGAGACACGGCCCAGACUCCUACGGGAGGCAGCAGUAAGGAAUCUUGCACAAUGGGGGAAACCCUGAUGCAGCGAUGCCGCGUGAGUGAAGAAGGCCCUUGGGUUGUAAAACUCUUUCGUCGGGGAAGAAAAUGACUGUACCCGAAUAAGAAGGUCCGGCUAACUUCGUGCCAGCAGCCGCGGUAAUACGAAGGGACCUAGCGUAGUUCGGAAUUACUGGGCUUAAAGAGCUCGUAGGUGGUUAAAAAAGUUGAUGGUGAAAUCCCAAGGCUCAACCUUGGAACUGCCAUCAAAACUUUUUAGCUAGAGUGUGAUAGAGGAAAGUGGAAUUUCUAGUGUAGAGGUGAAAUUCGUAGAUAUUAGAAAGAACACCAAAUGCGAAGGCAACUUUCUGGGUCACUACUGACACUGAGGAGCGAAAGCAUGGGUAGCGAAGAGGAUUAGAUACCCUCGUAGUCCAUGCCGUAAACGAUGUGUGCUAGACGUUGGAAAUAUAUUUUUCAGUGUCGCAGCGAAAGCAUUAAGCACACCGCCUGGGGAGUACGACC
rnacentral:rRNA from 1 species